rfam:Alligator sinensis unplaced genomic scaffold scaffold280_1, whole genome shotgun sequence
GGUACCAUGGCUUAGUUGGUUAAAAUGCCUGUCUCGUAAAUAGGAAGUCCUGGGUUCAAAUCCCAGUGGUACUU